rnacentral:rRNA from 1 species
AUUGAACGCUGGCGGCAUGCUUUACACAUGCAAGUCGAACGGCAGCGCGGGCUUCGGCCUGGCGGCGAGUGGCGAACGGGUGAGUAAUGCAUCGGAACGUGCCCAGUAGUGGGGGAUAGCCCGGCGAAAGCCGGAUUAAUACCGCAUACGGCCUGAGGGUGAAAGCGGGGGACCGAAAGGCCUCGCGCUAUUGGAGCGGCCGAUGUCGGAUUAGCUAGUUGGUGGGGUAAAGGCUUACCAAGGCGACGAUCCGUAGCUGGUCUGAGAGGACGACCAGCCACACUGGGACUGAGACACGGCCCAGACUCCUACGGGAGGCAGCAGUGGGGAAUUUUGGACAAUGGGGGCAACCCUGAUCCAGCCAUGCCGCGUGCGAGAAGAAGGCCUUCGGGUUGUAAACCGCUUUUGUUCGGGAAGAAAUCCUCUGGGCUAAUACCCCGGGGGGAUGACGGUACCGGAAGAAUAAGCACCGGCUAACUACGUG